rnacentral:rRNA from 1 species
CUGACCGUAAACGAUGCCAACUAGCGAUCCGCCGGCGGCUUCUCGGCCCUGGUGGGGAGCUUUCCGGAAACGAAAGUCUUCCGGUUCCGGGGGAAGUAUGGUUGCAAAGCUGAAACUUAAAGGAAUUGACGGAAGGGCACCACCAGGAGUGGAGCCUGCGGCUUAAUUUGACUCAACACGGGAAAACUCACCCGGCCCGGACACCGUGAGGAUUGACAGAUUGAUAGCUUUUUCAUGAUUCGGUGGUUGGUGGUGCAUGGCCGUUCUUAGUUCGUGGAUCGAUUUGUCUGGUUUAUUCCGAUAACGAGCGAGACUCCAGCCUACUAACUAGUGCGGGCAUUGCCUCUGUGCUUGUCACUUCUUAGAGGGAUUGGCUGCGCCUAGCGGCACGAAACGGAGCAAUAACAGGUCUGUGAUGCCCUUAGAUGUCCGGGGCUGCACGCGCGCUACACUGGCAAAGGCAGCGUGCUUGUCCGCCUCCGAAAGGAGCCGGUAAACCCUUGAAAAUUUGCCGUGAUUGGGAUCGGAAAUUGCAAUUAUUUUCCGUGAACGAGGAAUUCCUAGUAAGUGCGAGUCAUCAGCUCGCGUUG